rnacentral:tRNA from 1 species
UGCAUCAGCCGGGAAUCUAACCCGGGGCGCCCGCGUGGCAGGCGAGCAUUCUACCACUGAACCAAAAGC